rnacentral:lncRNA from 1 species
CCUUUGUGGGUAAGGAUUCCUUAACCCGCUCUGAAGCUCCCUGGACCUAGGCUGCUGGAACUGGCUCUUAAAGGGAGAUUCUUGAGGCAGAGAAGGACCAGCAAAGCAGCAAUUCGAAGACAUGGCAAGGGUGGGCCACACGCUGGUUGUCUUGCCUUCGGGGCUGCCUGUUCGAGCCUCUCACUCCUCUUGGUUUUAACCUUCCACCCUUGCAGAGCCUAAGAGAAAUGGUCACAUCCCAACCUAGCUUGUCUAUAAGGUCACGAUUCCAGCCUUAGUUCCUCAUUUGAGCAUUUACUUAGAACCCUCCUAGCGGAGGCACUGGGGACACUAGGCCACUGGAUCUGGCCCCAGCAUUCCACUUCUCUACUGAUCUGUGUUCAUUUCUGUCUUUCCGCACAGGAGAGGUGCUUCUCUGGUGUUCUUUUGCUCCCUUCUCCCAUACUCCUUGCGCCUGGCAGCACCAAAGCUGCUGUCCUUCAGCCCCUGAGCCAGCCCUUCUUGCUUCUGUCCUGAUACCUGUCUGGCAUUCUUGCUCCUUGGGGGAUGCCCUUUCUUCCUAGAUGGUACAGCCCCUGGCGUCCUCUUCCACAGGUCUCAGCCGUCGCCGGAGCUCCUCGCAUACCUUGAACCAGGCCUCCAGCAGAAGCCAUGCCCUGCUCACACUCCACAUCAGCCGCCCAACUUCUCAGCAGGUACCUCCUGUGGACCUUGGGGAGCCCCCUGUUGGAGGAAAGCUGUGCUUCGUGGACCUUGCAGGCAGUGAGAAGGUGGCAGCCACGGGGUCCAGAGGGCA